rnacentral:rRNA from 1 species
GAUGAACGCUUGCGGCGUGCCUAACACAUGCAAGUCGAGCGAACAGACGCUGAGCUUGCUCCUCUGACGUUAGCCGCGGACGUGUGAGUAACAUGUGGAUCCCCUACCUAUAAGACUGGGAUAACUUCGGGAAACCGGAGCUAAUACCGUAUAAUAUCUUGAACCGCGUGGUUGAAUAGUGAAAGACGGUUUUGCUGGCACGUCUAGCUGGAUCCGCGCUGCUUUAGUUGGUUGGUAAGGUAACGGCUUAUCAAGGCAACGAUGCGUAGGCGACCUGAGAGGGGGAUCGGCCACACGGGAGCUGAGACGCGGUCAAGAGUCCUACGGGAGGCACCAGUAGGGAAUCUGCGGCAAUGGGCGAAAGCCUGACGGAGCGACGCCACGCGAGUGAUGAAGGUCUUCGGAUCGUAAAACUGUGUUAUGGGGGAAAAACAAAUGUGUCAGUGACUAAGCACGUCUUGACGGUACCUGAUCAGGAAGCACCGGCUAACUACGUG